rnacentral:rRNA from 1 species
GAUGAACGCUGGCGGCGUGCCUAACACAUGCAAGUCGAGCGGCAGCGAGGGGUGCUUGCACCCUGUCGGCGAGCGGCGGACGGCUGAGUAACGCGUGGGAACGUGCCCCAAAGUGAGGAAUAACUGCCCGAAAGGGUAGCUAAUACCGCAUAUUAUCUUCGGAUCAAAGGAUUUAUCCGCUUUGGGAGCGGCUCGCGUCGGAUUAGGUAGUUGGUGAGGUAAUGGCUCACCAGGCCGACGAUCCGUAGCUGGUCUGAGAGGAUGACCAGCCAGACUGGAACUGAGACACGGUCCAGACUCCUACGGGAGGCAGCAGUGAGGAAUCUUCCACAAUGGGCGAAAGCCUGAUGGAGCAACGCCGCGUGCAGGACGAAGGCCUUCGGGUUGUAAACUGCUUUUAUAAGUGAGGAAUAUGACGGUAACUUAUGAAUAAGGAUCGGCUAACUACGUG